AUUUGAAACAGAGGCUAACUUUUUUAUUGUACUUACACUAGACAUCUAUUACCUUAUUUACACAAAAGAUACUUCAAAUUGUGUAUUGUCUUAGCUGAUGGUAAUUGAAAAUAAGGGAGGUUAUGGGGUGGAGGAAAUCUGUGACCAUUCAUAAUUAAACAACCACAAGGAUACAUGCAUCAGUCAGCAAAAGCAGGCAUCAACAUUAUGGAGUGAAAAUUAAAGAGUCAAAUACCCGAGUGUCUACUGUAUCUGCCUGCUGCUAAACAGUGAAGCAUGGAGAACAGGAUACACCUCUAUGGAUGGAUAGCUUUUCUUAUUAAAAAAACACAGUGGGAAGCACAGUAAGGGAACAUACUAAAACAAGGCUUUGUAGCAAUUUCUUUGAAAGAAAUUUCCCAAGAUAGCAACUUGAAAAGCUUUUAAUCUUAUGACUAGCUAUAGAGUGUGCUUUGCAUUAGGUGGUAUUUAAAAAUUCCAUUAGCUUGCAACAGAUCUGUUAGAGUUUCCCAAACUCUUCAUUCUCAUUUUUUUCCUCUUAUAAAACAUUUGCCAUCCAGGCUUUUAAAAAUGUACACAAAUUUGUGAGUCUGAAACACUGUGACAAACAACAAAUGAUACAUCAACUAUUUUCAUUUUUUUUAAAUACAAAAUUUGACUUAGAUGUUGAUAUAAUGGCAUCUGUAAAUAGAGUAACAAGCUUUUAUAGCUGUACUUAUUGCUUCAUUCCCUUAAUGUCUCACGUUUCAUCAGGUGAAUACUGAAGGCAGUGCAGUGUGGCAUGUUUUCUCUCUUUUAAACUGCAUAGAAGAACCAGGAUCUUCCCGAAGAGCUUAAGAGAAAUAUUUCAACCAACAAUUUGAUUUCCUGCUCAUAUCCUGAAAUCAUUCCAUUUUAUUCCAUUGUGGAAUUUAAAAAUAUUUUAGCGUGAUGUAUAUAUUAGAAAAUAUUUUUUUAAACUGUGGUAUCUGUUGGUUACACUGUCCUUUAAAACUUCUUAAACGGACAGUGUAUAGAGAUAUUGCUAUAUAAAACAGCUAUCAAAAGAAAGCUUUGCAAAGUGUAAGUGAAAGGUGAACCACAAUUGAGUGCUCUUUGAAUAUUAAAUAUUUCAUAAAUGUAUGGGUAGUGAUAUAACAGUAGUUAGCUAAUACAAUGAAUCUAUUAUACAUAUUAUUUUUAUGGAUAAUUGUCAAUAUUUUUAGUUAUAGUAGAUACCAGGAAUUAACUGAUAGUUUGGAUAAAGAUAGUUACACGUAAGUUUCAUACUCAAAAGUCAAAAGAAUUUCAUAUUAAACCUGAAAUUUUGCAUAACUUCACAUUAAGAUACAUAUUUGAUAUCUAUUUGGUAACUGAACAUUUACAUAAUUUGACCACUAGAUCAGAGAUCCAGUCUAAAUUUUACAAGAUUUUUUUCAUAAACUAAGAGAAAUAAAAUUUAGUACAAUUUUCCCAUAUGAGAUAGCCAAUGAUAUGUAGUAUUGUAUGUAAUACUAUGCAUAUAAUAUUUCCAUAAUUUGGACAUUUAAGUAUUUUUUUCCCAGAGCUGGGGACCAAACCCAGGGCCACUGAGCCAAAUCUCCAACCCCCAUUUAAGUAGUUUUAAAGACAAUGUAACCAACAGACACUAAAGUUUAAAGGAAAAUGAUUUUCAAAUAUACAAAUUAAACUAAAAUAUUUUUAAAAUUCCACAAUGGAAUAAAAUGGAAUGAUUUCAGGAUAUUCAAGAAAAAUAUAUUCAUAAAUAUAAAAUAUGAGUGAAAAAGUAUAACUUUUACUUCCUACUGUAUUAUUUUAACAUAAACAUUUUGAAUACAGAAUAUUAAUUCGAAAGUGGUGUAAACUGGAAAAUAAUUAUGUUGCAAGUAACAUUUGUAAAAUUCAGUGGCAUAUUCUGGUUUCUUCAUCACAUUGUAUUGUAGUUUGAGAAAGUUUAACCUAAAACUUCAUUUAAUUAGUCCAAGAAAUUAUAUCUUUACUAGCAGGAUUUUGAGUAUAAACCCUGUCUACAUUUUACCAAUUUGAUAUUUUUUCAGCUGUCUGGUAUUAUAUUAGAAAAUACUUUAUUUCUAACUGUAGACAUGUUUUAGAGUGUUUGGACUAGAAAGUAAUUCUGAUAUGAAUUAAAAGAGUAAGUAUUUAGAAAACACAGUGUUUCAUGAGACUUAAGGAAUUGAAGUAUAGAUUUUAUUGAGGAUAGAAUAAUACUACAGUCAUACUUAAAGAUGUAUGCAUUUAUGACACCAAAAGUCAAACUUUUAAUUUUGAGUAGUUUGAGAUUCUAAAAUUGAACAAGAAGGAAAGUGAGAAUAACAUUAUUUGAUAAUUGGAUAACCUAUGAAACUCAAAAACCAAUUUUAAGUAAUUUUUAUUUAUUAUAACAACAUGAACUGCAUGAAAUUUAGUAAUACAGGAUUUUCAUGGAAAGAUAUGUAGAUCUUUGGGAGACAAAAUCAUAUUUUUCAACUUGUCUUGAAAGUUGAAAAUCUGGUCUUUAUAAUGUAAGUUAAAACAGCUCUCCAAUCACUAAUGUCCAUUUGCUACUCAUAACAAUACACUUUGUGGCUUUAAAAAUCAUUCAGGAAUAAAGACGUAGACACAUGGCUUAUUUUCAUGAGGAGCUUGUGCACACAAAUUUCUGCAUUUCCAAAACAACACUGUAACUGUGGGGGAAGGGGAAGUAUAUUUCAACAUUAUAUGCUUAUGCUACAAUUUGAUCAGAUCUAAUUUUAUUUGUUUUAUAUAUUUGGGGGUGGGGGAUUAAAGAAUUCCUGCAGGGAAACAGUUAAUCUAUUUUUAACUAAAGCUUUACUUUUGUAAUCUAUCCAGUGCUUCAAGUUCUGUCAUUGAUCUAUGAUUUAUGUGAUUUAAACCACCUCUUGGCUGUAACACUGGUUUCUGUUCAAGAUGCUGAGUUGAAUACUAAUUACAAGAUCAAAUUUAUGCUGUUGGGCUAAGCAGCUGAAUGAGUUUUCCAAGAAGGACUCCCUUCUCCAUCUCUGUCACAAUUGAACCUUUGGGAAGUUUUGUCAGAGAAAGGGAUAAGGGGGAAAUGAAAUGAAUGAAAUAAAAGGAUUCUACAUGUUUUAAUAUAUUAAGUGAUUGUUUUGUAUCACACUUAAACAGUCAAGAAUGGAAAUGUGCUUGUGCAGACAGAAACAUAACUUGUAUAUUUAUUGAUUCAUUGUGUGUGUUUCCAUGUAUGAAAACAUUGAAUAAAUGUUCAAAUCAAUAUUUAUAGCUGCAUUUAAAAUGAAAGUUAAUAGCUAGGGUCUGCUCCACAGAGUGAAAAAGCUUUCAUUAUUUAAUUGUAUGCCAAAUUUUUCAAACAUUGGGCAGCACUGAAUUAUAUAUGAUCAAUUAUUCUAUUGGAAGUGAGAAUCAAUUUGUUGGAGAAGUAAUUUGAGAAAUGUAGAUAACUUAGUGAUUUUCCCCCCAAGGUAGUGGGAUAAAAACUGGGACAAUUUUUGUCCAAUGAGUGACUUGAUAUACUUUUGGUAUUCACAAUUUAUAUGGCAUGAACUUAUUUUGAAACUAACAGCAAGCAUAUUGGCCAGGGAUGUUAAAUAUCGUAAACUGAAGAACACAAUUCACGUCCAAUAUGUCAAAGGUGACAUUGUUGAAAAUCUUUGUCCACAGGUCUCCUAUGCCGGCUAGGCCCUAGUCAUGUUUACAGAUAUUGCUGAGAAUCAGCAGGAGCUUAUGCUUUCUCCAUUAAAAAGAUAAGCAAUAUUAACUUAUAAGUACAACCCAACAUCACAAUGAAAAUGUGAAAUUUUAAACUUUAAAGAUAAUCCUUUAUUUUAUCUUAAGAUACACUGGGACCCUCCUUCUCUAAAUGUAUACAAAUACCACCUCCAGCCCAUUCUUCUCUUGUACUCAUAUAAAUAUAUAUUCAAGUAUUGCUUAUAUAUGUACAAAAUUUUAAUGUGGAUGUCUAGCUUUUACCAUGAAAAUAGGUGAAGUCCCUUUUGGUAUUGUUUAAUUCAUUGAAAUUGUACAGCUAAUUUUCUGUUGGUGUGAGGUGAACUUAUUUUUUUUUAGAUAGUUGUAUUGUUUUCUGUGUCUUCAUUCUUUUUAUAAUGGACUAUAUACUUGAUUGCAUUCAUCAAAUAAAAGGUACAAGGAAAGAUUAAGCCAAAUUUUCCUGCUGAAAUGAAGACUUGUUAGUGGAAUGAAUGGACCAUUUAACUGCAGGACUCAUGGGGUGUGUUAUGUGAGUCAGAUGACAAACAAUUGAUGACAUUAACAUUUUUUCUUUCAGAAUCAUUGGUGAUACUCUAUUUGAUGCAAUGUAAUGAAGCUAGCUAUAAGAAAACAGAAGGCAAAAUCACAUUAUCUGGUCCUGGCACCUUACACUGGCUAAUCUACUACAUUUUUCAUCUGUUAUAUAAGAAUAUAUGUUUAUAUCAUUGUUGCUUGUGAGUUUAAAAUGCAAGUAUAUACUAAGGAAAUAAACUAAAAUACCAUUUUUAUUGUUAUUAUCCUCUCAUAUUUGAAAUUUAUACACAGAAAGUAAAAUUUCAUAGGAGAAUUUUCAAACUCCUGACAGUUUAUUUAAAGAAUACUCUAAUAUAGCAACUGAGAAUAAAGUCCAAUACAGAGUCACAAUUUAGCAUACCAUGUCCCACAGCAGUAGAAAAUUUGGGGACAGGUGACAUUAAAAAGAUCAAUAAGCAGAUAGAAGUUUGAUAACACAGAAGGAGGCAGGAGGGGAUAGACUAUAGACUAAUGUUUAUUCUAGAUUCCAAAGGACAACAAAGUUCAUCAUUAACAUAAACUGGUUAUCUAGAAAACUUUAAUAUUUGAAUACAAAAUGUAACUGGAAGUCAACAUAGAUCAUAUAUUAAUAUAAAUUUGGAUCAUAUCAGGUAAAGUCCAGUAUUAUAGUUAUUUUGUUGUAAGUACUCAUAGUAUUCUAAUUUGCUAUCCCUGAUUUUCUAAAAUGUUUAUAAUACAAAAGAAUGGUAAUGAUAAAAGAGAUGUACAUAGUUGAAAUAAUUUGUGACUCAUUAGUCUAAAAAAUAAUUAUUCAUCUUGAUUUUAAAACAUUUAGCCAUUUGAAAGGUAAUCAAGUUUGAAAGUUUAUAUUCUAGUUUAACAGAGCAAUGCUGUCAUUUGUAAAGGUACUUAAUAGUAGAUGUUAACCACAGAGAUUUUAGAAUAUCUGUCAUGAUAUUCUAAAUGAAAAUUGAUGAUAAAACUGGAAAUUAUAAAAUUUUAUCUAUAUCCUCUCUGUAACUAACCAUCCAUGGACUGAACUAGGUAAUUCGUGUAGUAUAUUAUGAAAUAGCUUCCUAGAGAAUCAAUCUUGAUGCUAGAAUGAAAGCUCAGUAGUUAAGAAUUCUUUCUGCUCUUAUGGUAUAUGCAGAUUUUCCCAGGACCCAUGGGGCAAAUCACAAUUAUCUAUAACUUUACUUUUGGGAAAUUUUAACCAUUCUUCUGGCCUCCAUGAGCAUCGCGAAAACACAUGGUACAUAGAUAUACAUGCAAGUAAAGAUUAGUACACAUAAAAUAAAAACAAUUCUUUAAAUAAUCUACCUCAAGUACUUUCAAUUGGAUCUACUUUUAUACUUUGAUUAUAAUUCUUGCUAUAUUUAUGUGACAUCAGACUCAGUAAGCAAUGCCCAUAGUUAUGAAUUUCUUUCCAAUUUAUUGUAUAUAGAGAUAUUUAGGUAAUUACUACAAAUAUUUAGGUAAUCACUUAACCGGGAAGUUUGUUGAAAGAGAAAUGUGAAGCAUAGUUAGCUUAUAUUACAAAAAGUUUUCAGUGUUCAAAUUAUCAUAAUCUUUCACUUGUAUCAUUCAAAUAAUUUCUCUAUAUAGCAACAUUUUACAGUUUUCUGACAUUCCAAUUUCUUCCUUAUAUUAAAUCCAAAAUCUAGAUGAGAACAUUGUCCUUAUCUAGGAAGAUUGACUCAACACUUCGCUGUGCUUCGCUGAUUAAACUGAGCAUCUAUCUAACUCUAAUGAUCCACUUCCCAUGGCCACAUUACUAAAAGCAGUGAUAUCAUGACUAAGGCCAAAAAUUUUUAUCACGAUUUUUAGCAUUCUGUAAGAAAAAAUUAUAAAAUAAAUUUGGAAAUUCUAGAAUAUUAUCUAACCCAACAUCACAGGUCCUAAUGCAAUUCCUACAGAAAAUGUAUGUACAUUCAUCAUACAAAGCCCAGAAAGCUAAUAGACAAGGAAAAUUAAUAUCCCAAAGAUGAUUUUGUAUGUUGUAAACAAAAUUAUUGUAUUUGUUUCUUCUCUGAAGUAAAACCAGUUAAUCCUGAUAACAAUUAUGGACAAUAUUACUCUUACUAUAUUGAUACUAUUUGCCUAGGACCUAAUUAUCUCAUGUUUCCUUCCAUCUAAUAGAAAAAUUUUACUCCUGUACCUUAUGGCUUCUUUUGAGGUAUUCUAGCAUAGCAGAUCAGAUACUAGAAUGGUAGUUAUUGUAUAAAUGGGAUAACAUUUUAGGUGUAUUAUGAUAUGUGAUCACAGUGUAUUAUUUGGUUUAUUGUAUAACAGAGUAUUCAAUUAUUAGUUUAACAUGAAAAAGACGUAAAGGAAGAUAGGUUUUUCAGUUAUUCUUAUUACCGAAUUAACUCACCAUGGACCCAUUGUAUAAGGGAGGAAAAUGAAUUUUAAUAUUUAUUUAAUUUAGAUAUUUUUAUCAAAUAAUUAUAACUCAGCUGUCCAAUGCUUCUCUUUAAUUAAAAACUUUAUAUAUUAACCAUUUUGUUUUUUAAUACUUUUCUUUUCAACUCAACAUACCAUUCUGCCGCUAAUGGUUCAAUACAAUGUGUAUCUUAAAUGUACAUUAAAUUAAAUAUUGUACUAGGGUUUCUUUUAUCAGUAGCAUUGAUCUUAAUUAAACAUUGAUUGCCUCUGUUUUUCUAAUGUCUGUCACCUAGUUAAUGUAUUUCACAUUCUAUAUUAUCAGAGUAGGAUAUAAACCCAAAUUAAACAAUAUUGAUUUUGAUCCACUUUUGCAUACCAAAUUGAAGUUGGCUUUCCUCUAGAACUGUAUACAAAUCACAACAGAAAUUAUCCAUUUUCCUGCAAUUCUGGGCCACUGGAGUUUGGCAAGUUACAAUAGAGUGCUCAUCUGUAGGCCAGACCAGUUUGUGCGUAGCAGCCUUUCUUCUGAAACCAAAUGUAAAUUCAUGCCCAUGUGGAUUUUGUUUUAACAUCUGCUACUGAGAGAACAUUCAUAUAUGUUAAUGGAAAUCAACCUCAGAUAUUUCCUUGAAGUUGUAAUGAGACCUAUUACUAUGAGAAAACAUCAAAGUAUGCUCUCCUAACCAGAUAUUUUUAUUAAAAACCCUAUCCAGAUUACCAGGAAGUCACAUUUAUCAAUUAAUUACAAGAAUAGCUGUCAAAUAUCAAAUUAUAAAGAGUUCAAUAGAGCUAUAAAACAUAAAAAGUGGUUUUGGGAAAGUCUGUAAAGUAAGGUAUAUUUUCUUGAAAUGAAAAUUGACAACUAGGUACUAAGGAAUUUGGAGAUGAAGAGUUUCUAUGAAUGUUCCAAAUCUAGCCUGUGCCAUAAUACAUCAUAGCACUACUGAGGAACUGACGGUCUAAUGUGACAAUAGUGUGAAUACUGAAAGAAUGAUUGGGAUACAAGAUAAUAGAUGUAGAUGGCAGUCAGUUUACAUGUGUACAAAGGGUGGCCUUAAAGGAGUUCUAAGCAAGAAUGGGUGAACUGACACCAUGAAAUAUGUAUUUUGACUUGGCCAAUUUGAAAAAUUAUUUUAAAAGAUGCAGAAUGGAAACAGAAAGACAAAUUACAGUAAUAGAUUAUAACACUUGCUAUAGGAAAAAUACUCAGAGAGAUGUUUAUUAAGUAAAGUUCAAAGCUUUUGAAGCUAGAAAAGUAGUUUCUGAAAUGAGUACUGGAAGGGAUAAGGACAUUCUCAUGAGGUAUGACUAAGGAAUAAACUAAAUUUCAGAUAUAGUUUUCUGUGAACUAUUAGAGGAAAUUUAGUAGAGGGAUGAUAGACAGCAAACUAAUUUGACAUGCUAGUAGAUGAUUAAGCACUUUGGUACUAUGGGUGUGUUAGAAGAAGAGAAAGAAAUUCUGCCAUCACCUCCAUAUGUGUGAGUAUUGGGACUUGAGAAUGUUAACACUGUAGUAUGGUAGGUCUGCUUUAGAUUGACUAGCUCCCAUGGAAAUAAAAGUGAUCUGACCUACCUAUAACAGAAAUUAAAGCAGAUCUUCAUUCUAUCAGUGUUUGAAAUACUAUGAAACUGGGAGCGACAGCAGUUUUAAGACCAGUUAGAUUGGUUUCUUGACACUUAUCACUCAUAAAAUUUCAGUUGUUAUCAACUAGCAAAUUCCAAGAAACUUAGAAGCUGUAGUCACCAUGAUCUAAAAAGCAAAUAAUACCCAAGAUAGCAAGGUCUCAGCAAACAUUCACCCACAAGUCAGUCUUGAUUGCCCUCUGUGGGAACCGUAGUCAGAUCAAAGCAUCUCAAAUCUAACAACAAACAUCCCCAGGCAGCUCUUCCUCAAUUGCUUCUACUCAGGGAUUAUCUUUCAGAAAAUGUAAUAUUGCCGAUGAAAAUGAACCCAGGAAAAUCAAGUCGGCAAGAACAUCAAGAAUGAAACAUUGUUUGUCUUAUUAUUAUUCAGGAUGAAAUAAUUAUUUGACUCUAUUUGAUUAUGUAUUCUGGAUCAUUCCAAAGCUUCUUAUGAAAGUCAACACUUCUAUAAUAAAAAAGUGGAGUGUUUAGGAAUUAUGUGGCUUCACUGAUCAUUAUACUCUUCAUUGACAGGAAAAUAUUAAAAUAGUUGGUUAGGAAAUUAAGUCUCAGUGUGAAAUAAUUUUGAAUUUUCUUAGAGUUGGGAUGUUCUGACAUAAGUAAGACUAAUGUCACCUUCCUGCUAGUCUCCUUGCUUUCGUUAGGAAGCAAUACAACAACAACAAUAAUAAUACCCAAACUUUACUGUUCCUUCAAUAAUAAAGCCAUUACGUGCAGAAAUUCACCGCUUGGGCUUCACCCAGGCUACAAAUUCUGGUCUUGUCACUUACAUUAUCUGUUACAGUGCUGUUUUCUAGGUAAACGUGUGUACUCCUUCUCCUUUUUACUUAUAUGUGUUCUGAAGCAGCACUGAAGUAGACUCUAUUUUUACUUUUCUGUAGUCAUUGACUAAGAGACUUGAAAUAAAUACAGCUGUUCCUAGUCUCCAUCAUUUCAGUAUUUAGAAAAAUAAAUCUUCAAGGAAUAUCCUGGGAUUUAUUGAUCUGAGGAAUAGUUUUUCCCACUUGUACUAGGUUCUGAUUUUUUUUAUAAUUGAACAAAGAUAAUUUAAACCAAUGAAAUGUCAAAAUAAACCUGAAUGAAUCUUUCUUUGAUAUAUAAAUGUGAACUUAUCUUCCCAUUAUCCUCUUUACUCUUCCUUCUUAUGUUCAAUCUCAUUAUGUCAGGAAAUCAUGUGUCAUGGAAGUGUAAAUAGCAACUUCUACAUUUGUUUCUGAAUAUUCUAAAUCUAUUGGAUGAUAAAACUUGAAGAAACACUAUAGAAACACUAUAGAAUCUAUAGUACAGAUUUAGUGUUGACAUAAUCCUUUCAUAGCUCAUAUCUUGGUCCACUUUGAAAAUGUGUGUGUGUGUGUGUGUGUGUGUGUGUGUGUGUGUGUGUGUACAUGUGUAAAGGUAAAAUUUAUUAACUAGAUGUAAUUAUUGUCUAUCAGGCUUAUAGCUGAAUAAGUUAACACUUUCUAGUUCUUUCUGAAUCCUGGAUAGCUUGUUCAACUCAGUUGUUCUGGCUCAAACUCCUCUCCAAACUGACAAAUUCAAUGUCUUCUCUCUACUUCUCACUGAGUCACUUUGCAUAACUUCAAACUAACUCUGGCAAUCUAUUUUUAUCUUCUGGCUUAUUCUCAUUCUCUAGCUGGCCCUGUCUUUACUUGCAACCUGUCUCUGUAACACUAUACUGACAAAAUUGCUUCCCCUCUCUCUUUUUCUCGCUGAGCUGCCCUCUUAAAUUGCUUUUCUUUCCUGUUUGUUCCUGUGACAGUGGGUGUAUUCUGUCUCUGACUCAUUCUGUCAAAACUUUUCCUGGUUCAUCACUUAGGCUGCCCCUCAAUUGGAUGUUAUUAUUUUGGAUUAAAGGUACGUACUAAGAUUGUGUUUGUAUUCUACUCAGGGAUUAAAGGUGUGUUAUUCCAGCUGGAUAACACAGGCCUAGAUCUUUGGAUAUGAUUCCUUGCUAGAGUAGCCAUGUUGCUGGAUUAAAAUUCCUCUACAUAUAGAUGCAUUUUUCCUUAGUUUUGGGAUGUUUUCUUUAAUGACCUGGUUAAAAAUCUGAUCUUUGUCAUUCACCUAGGUUUCUUCUUCUCUGUCUUUGCUUAUAUUUUGAAAUUUUAGUACUUCAUGGCAUUUCCUGCAUAAUCUGUUCUUGCUUUUUAAAUGUUUUCCAUAUUAUUUGUGUGUAUGAUCUAAUUCCUUUGUUAUCUUUGAAUAUUGAUGUUCCACUUCUACUUGUUCUGUUCUACUUGUAACAAUUUCCCCUGAGUUUCCAAAUUAGGUUUUUGAGUUUUCCUAAUUCUAGCUUGAGUUUGUAAUAUUUUUCUUUACAGAAUUUGGUUUUUCCAUCCUGUAAUUUUCUUUAUAAUUCCAUUCAACCUUCUGUUUAUGUUUUUACACCAGUAGCACCUUCUUUGAAUUCGUUCUUUUUAAUUUCAUUGGGCUAUUUUUGUAUCUCAUUUAAGCUUCAUUGGUUCUUUGAAGACAUUUAUUAUUAUUUUUCUUUUAAGAAAUGUGUCAUGGGGUUCAUCUGAGUAAAUGUUAUUAGAUGAUAUUUCCAUUCGACUGGUGGCUUCUGUGAUGAACAUACUGUCUAAAAACAUUAAUAUAAUGUUUUUGUCAUGAGACCUAUGCAUAUAGACGUUUUUGUUGGCUGUAUUUCUGCUGUAAACUCUGAAGGUUGGGCUAAAUCACAGAAUAGGCCUCCUGGCCUGAACCUGAAAAUAAGAGAAGGCAGAGGUUGGGAUCAUCUGACUGGGCUAGAGCUUUGGUUGUGGAAGUCAGCAUAGGUCUUGGAAUUGAGGAGGAUAAUACAGAGAAAUAUAAUGAUGCUUACUCAUUAGACUGGGAUAGAGCACUGUAUGUCUGAGCUGUCUGGGCGUUAAGAGUGGAACUGUCAAUAAUUUUGAAAAUUUUAAUUUAUUCAUCAUUAGCUACUGAAUCAUCUUUAUAUUUCCAUUUUGAAUUUGUUGUUUUAUGUAUAUACAUAUGAGUGGGAGGGGGUUGUUGAAUUUAUUUAGCAUUGUUGUUAUAUAUAGGUCUUUGUGGAUGAUCCCAUGGGUUUUGAUAACUUAUCAAGGGACUUGUUCUUGGAUGAGACUGAUUCUUCUUUUAACAACAGCCAUUAUAUUCCUGUUUUGGUGACACACCCAUUUAAUCUCAGCACUCAGAGUCAGAGUCAGGUGGAUCUCUGAGUUUGAGGACAGCCUGUCUUACAGAGCUAGAUCGAGGACAGGCAGGGCUACACAGAGGAACUAUCUCUGUUUCUGUCUCUGUAUCUGUAUCUCUCUCUUUCAUACAGGCACACACAUAGCAACAACAGCAGCAACAGCAACAACAACAACAACAACAACAACAACAGAAACAACAACAACCUGAAACAAAAGAAAAUGGCCAUUCAUUGGGGGCAGCCCUUCAUUUGGUGCUUUAAGGAUCUUCCUCAAAACAUCAUAUCGUCUAUGACAACCACUACAGAGUGCUCUGUUCCAGUAUAACACGCAUUUCUUAAUAUUGACUUAACUGUUUAAUAAUCAGUUGCAUGGUCUCAUUUAACUUAUUUAAUUCAUUAAUAGUCACUUCACUUCAAAGUAACUUCAUUGAGAUUAUUUGUAGCUUUUUAAUAAUUAUAGUUUAAAGAACGAUUUACCAUCAUUGGCCAAUGUGUUCAGAUAUUCAAUAAGAAAUACUAAGCUGAUGUAUAAAAAAUAACUAAAUUGUUGAAAAAUUGUAAAAUUGAUUGCUUCAUAUGUUGUUAUUAAAAUAUAUUACUAAAAAGUUCUAAUUUAAAGUUUUGAUUUAUGUAAUUCUAUAUGUGAAUAAUAAAAAAUUAAACCAUGUUUUGAUAAGAACACUCUUAACAUUGUGCAAAAGAAUUUUAUUUAGAAGGGAAUAGUCUAAAUUCAGAAACUUAAAAUUUAAUUUCAAUUUUUAAAUUUAAACUUGCUAAGUCUAAAUAGUAAAUGGAAAACAAAGAUAUAAGACGUCUACUGAAGUACAAUAUAUUUUUAGUAAGCUAGGAUAAACAGAAAAGUAGUUGUCUUCUGGAUGCAAGGCGGUUUUGUAUUUAAAGUAACAUCUUUUUCCUUAAGGAACACGACUUGACUAUUUGAAAAGAGAAAAAUCAAGAUAAACCAAACAUAAAACUAUAAAGUUGUACAAUAUCUGAAUGGAUCAUGGGGUUUUAGAAGAAAAAUCCUAGAAAAUUAUAAAUAAAUACAAUAAAUUAUUUAAAAGGUUAUUUAAAGUUUUUCCUUGUUGUGUUUAAUUAAAAUAUAUGCUCUUUCUUGGGAGUUCUCUCUAAUCUCCCAGCUAAGUUCCAAGAACAGCUACCACUGUGGACUGUCUCUCUCAGCCCAGCCAGAUGCCAGCUGGCAUUUUUCCAAGAACACUGCCCAUUCCUCCGACUGGGUUUGCCAAGCUGCCAACAACUGUCCUUCCCCAAAAUGCUGGGAGUUUCUCUUUGCACUACCUGCUAACUGCCCCAGCUGCCUGCUCUCUUCUCCUGUCCCCUUUAGCUUGGAGGAAGAAGAAUGCUUGAGAUUUUUAUCAUUUUAAAACCGACCAGAUAACCCAACAGCUGAGUUUAAAUGUUCUUCUCCUACUAUUAACAGUACCUUUUCCAUGCUCCUUUGCCUCUGCCACAUAGGUCCACCAAGUGACCAAAGCAAGAGGCUCCCAGGACCCAACUGGGAUGACAGUAGCUGAAAUACCCAAUGAAGGGGAAGAGAAAGCCUGUAAAUACCAUAUCCAGAGUUUAGACACAGUCCCUGUUGAGGGAUAAGGCCACCUUCCCUAACUCAAAAAUAUUAACCCAAAAUUGCUCCUGUCUAAAGGAAAUGCAGGGACAAACAGUGGAGCAGAGACUGAAGGAAAAACUAUCCAGAGACUGCCCACGUAGGGAUCAUCCCAUAUGCAGACAACAAACCUAGACACUAUUGCUGAUACCAAGAAACUCUUGCUGACAGGAGUCUGGUAUAGCUGGCGCCUGAGAGGCUCUGCCAGAGCCUCACCAAUGCAGAUUAGGAUGCUUGCAGCCAACCAUUGGACUGAGCAUGGGAACCCCAAUGGAGGAGUUAGAGGAAGGACUGAAGGAGCUUAAGGAGUUUGAAACCCCAUAGGAAGAACCACAUUGUCAAACAACCAGACACCCAGAGUAUCUGGCAUCAGUAGGAGGGGAGACUCUUCCUCCUGUGGAGGCUUGAUGCCCCAGCAUGGGGGAAUGCUAGGGCAAUGAGGUGGGAGUGCGUAGGUGGUUGGGUG